rnacentral:rRNA from 1 species
GACGUAGGGCGCGAGCGUUGUCCGGAUUUAUUGGGCGUAAAGAGCUCGUAGGCGGUCUGUUGCGUCGGCUGUGAAAACCCGGGGCUCAACUCCGGGCCUGCAGCCGAUACGGGCAGACUAGAGUUCGGCAGGGGAGACUGGAAUUCCUGGUGUAGCGGUGAAAUGCGCAGAUAUCAGGAGGAACACCGGUGGCGAAGGCGGGCCUCUGGGCCGAUACUGACGCUGAGGAGCGAAAGCGUGGGGAGCGAACAGG